AUAGUAUUAACUGGGAUCUAUUUAAUGAUACGCAUAACAUUUAAAAUCAACUACUUGAAUUUAUUGAGUAUAAUAAUAAUUUUAAUUUCUUAUAUUUUAAAUAUUUAAAAAUAAUGAAUCCACAAACUGAAAGGAAUGAUUUGCAUACUCUCGUCUGAGUCGGAACACAUACUGGAAUAAAGAAGUCGGUGCUCAUGUCUGUCCGUCUGUCAAAAAAAACCUCCACAUAUGUAGUCUAAUAUAGCCAAAUAGUCUGUUAGUUUGCCAUUGUCAUCUUUCAUUUCUCCUUUUAUUUUCAAUUAGUUUGCUAAUGACAGGGAGAAAACAAAAAUAGACUUAAGUGGCAUAAAAGGUUAUUUUGAACAAUUUUCCAUUCCGACGGAUGGUAUUUCUGAAGAACAAUUUUGUACGGCAACAAAAUCAUGUGAGAUCUUAUAUUACCGGAAAAUAAAGAAGGUGCAUAUAGGUGUUGUUCUUGAAAAUUUAAAUGUGGGUUUUACACGUCCAAUUUGCGAUUUUGUCGAAAAGUGUGCUACCAAGGAAAACUUGUUCUAUGACGUCAGAUUCAAUGUUUUUAAGUAAGACAACUCUUUUCUUCAAAUCAAACGAAACAAACAUGAAAAUUACUCAUAAAGUUUUUUGAAAGGUCGGUGACAUAUUCAUUUUUUAUAUAUUUGAAGAGUACGCAUGGCACUUUCCUUCUUGAAUUUUUUGUGAAGAAAUCACUGGUAGAUAUUUUCUAAUACUGAAAACGGUUUUCAUUCUUAAGUUGUAUUUUUAACACGAAACUGAGGUUGCUAUAGUGACAAAACUAAGUCCGUGACCCCCA
rnacentral:lncRNA from 1 species